rnacentral:rRNA from 1 species
UACGUAGGGGGCUAGCGUUGUCCGGAAUCAUUGGGCGUAAAGCGCGUGUAGGCGGCCCGGUAAGUCCGCUGUGAAAGUCGGGGGGCUCAACCCUCGGAUGCCGGUGGAUACUGUCGGGCUAGAGUGCGGAAGAGGCGAGUGGAAUUCCUGGUGUAGCGGUGAAAUGCGCAGGAUAUCAGGAGGAACACCAAUUGCGAAGGCAGCUCGCUGGGACGUUACUGACGCUGAGACGCGAAAGCGUGGGGAGCAAACAGG